AUUGGCUUAUAAGUGGUUUAUAAGCUGUUGUCAGCUUUUUUGAGUGUUUAGCUAGUUAGCUUAAAGUCAUUUUGUGUUUAAAAUAAGUUUAAAAAAAUAAUUGGACCCAUUUGACUUAGCUUAUUUAAAAUAACUUAUAAGUUGUUUUCAGCUUAUAAGCUAAAAGAAAUAAGUUAGACUAUCCAACUUAUUUUUUUUAGCUUAUAAUCUGCAAACAGCUUAUAGGCAUAAGCCCAUCCAAACAUGCUCUAUAUAUUAUGACUCUCCACUACUCUUUUAUUUCUUCAAAGCUUCUCAAACUCUUACUUCCUCUUUCAUGUUUAUGUGAGUUUUGGAAUUUAUUUCUGUCGGAAAAAAAUUUAACAAGAAAUACACAACUCAAGUAGUUUUAGGUAGACAAGGAGGCAGAGAGAAUUGUAGAAUUAGAAGAUGCGUGCACUAGUGAUAUCGUUGCCAUUGGCUAUAUUGGGAUUGAUCAUACUAGCCAUCAUACUAGCCAUUAUUUGUUACACCUGUGGAAAAAGAAGGAGUCGAUGGUAAUUAAUUAAUUAUUCAAAAUGCUUUAUUGUGGCUCCUCCAAGCUCUUGUUGGAUACAGGCUUAAAAAAAAAAAAAAAAAUAUAUAUAUAUGAAUGGAACCCUUUGUUCAAAGAGUCUAGUCUAUCCUAGAGAGCUUGCUUUAUAUUUUCUUGUACCCUGUUUCUUGAUUUUGUAUUCGUAAGUGUGACAUUAUACUUUGUAUUAUAUGAUUGUGGUGUCUGGCAGAAUGCGUACAUAUAUAAAUUGUUGGAUCUUGUUGAA